rnacentral:rRNA from 1 species
CGGUAGACGUUAACCUGUCCGUUAGGGAAGGUAGGGGGAAAUUAACGAGGUUAGGAAACAGCUGACUAAUACCGCAUAAUAUGUCUGUGUCGCAUGGCACUGGGCAUCAAAGAUUUUAUCGCUCUGAGAUGGACUCGCGUCUGAUUAGCUAGUUGGCGGGGUAACGGCCCACCAAGGCGACGAUCAGUAGCCGGACUGAGAGGUUGGCCGGCCACAUUGGGACUGAGACACGGCCCAGACUCCUACGGGAGGCAGCAG